rnacentral:rRNA from 1 species
UACGUAGGGGGCAAGCGUUGUCCGGAAUCAUUGGGCGUAAAGCGCGUGUAGGCGGUUCGGUAAGUCUGCUGUGAAAGUCCAGGGCUCAACCCUGGGAUGCCGGUGGAUACUGUCGGACUAGAGUCCGGAAGAGGAGAUGGAAUUCCUGGUGUAGCGGUGAAAUGCGCAGAUAUCAGGAAGAACACCCGUGGCGAAGGCGGUCUCUGGGACGGUAACUGACGCUGAGACGCGAAAGCGUGGGGAGCGAACAGG